UACGGGGGGAGCAAGCGUUGUUCGGAUUUACUUGGCGUAAAGGGCGCGUAGGCGGCCAGCGCAAGUCAGUUGUGAAAUCUCCGAGCUUAACUCGGAAAGGUCAACUGAUACUGCGCGGCUAGAGUGCGGAAGGGGCAACUGGAAUUCUUGGUGUAGCGGUGAAAUGCGUAGAUAUCAAGAGGAACACCUGCGGCGAAGGCGGGUUGCUGGGCCGACACUGACGCUGAGGCGCGAAAGCCAGGGGAGCGAACAGG
rnacentral:rRNA from 1 species